AUUGAACGCUGGCGGCGUGCUUAACACAUGCAAGUCGAUCGGUAACGCGGGGGCAACCCUGGCGACGAGAGGCGGACGGGUGAGGAACGCUUGGGAAUCUGCCCUUCAGCGGGGGACAACACGGGGAAACUCGUGCUAAUACCGCAUACGUCCUACGGGAGAAAGCAGGGGAUCACUUGUGACCUUGCGCUAAUAGAUGAGCCUAAGUCGGAUUAGCUAGUUGGUGGGGUAAAGGCCUACCAAGGCGACGAUCUGUAGCGGGUCUGAGAGGAUGAUCCGCAACACUGGGACUGAGACACGGCCCAGACUCCUCCGGGAGGCAGCAUUGGGGAAGAUUGGACAAUGGGGGGAACCCUGAUCCAGCCAUGCCGCGUGUGUGAAGAAGGCCUUAUGGUUGUAAAGCACUUUAAGCGAGGAGGAGGCUCUUUUGGUUAAUACCCAGAAUGAGUGGACGUUACUCGCAGAAUAAGCACCGGCUAACUCUGUGCCAGCAGCCGCCGUAAAAC
rnacentral:rRNA from 1 species